rnacentral:sRNA from 1 species
ACGUUGGGUAAGCUUCAAAGCGUUGCAGU